CGACCCCCAGAAAUCAUCUCGCGACCCCAAUUGGGGUCCCGACCCCAAGGUUGAGAAUUACUGCCAUAUAGGACUACAUCUCUUGUGAAAACCAAGAUGGUAAAAAAAAGGAAAUGCCCCCUUUAGAAAUAAACAGUUUUCUGGAGUGUCUCUACAAUUACUAAUGGAAUGAAAACUUGCCUGACUUUCACAGAAUUACAGACUGAAGAA